GCCUUGACGGGCUGGGGCUGCUCGAGUACCUGUUCAUCGAGGAUUCCCAGCUCAGCUCGCUCUCACCCGAAGCUCUCCGGGGCCUCCGGGGGCUCCAGUUCCUGAGUUUGGCCAACAACCACCUGGAGUCGCUGCCCAGGGACCUCUUCAGGGACUUGGGGACACUGAGGCACCUGGACCUGCGCGGGAACCCGCU